rnacentral:rRNA from 1 species
GAUGAACGCUGGCGGCGUGCCUAAUACAUGCAAGUCGAACGAAACUUCUUUAUCACCGAGUGCUUGCACUCACCGAUAAAGAGUUGAGUGGCGAACGGGUGAGUAACACGUGGGCAACCUGCCCAAAAGAGGGGGAUAACACUUGGAAACAGGUGCUAAUACCGCAUAACCAUAGUUACCGCAUGGUAACUAUGUCAAAGGUGGCUAUACUACCGCUUUUGGAUGGGUCCGCGGCGCAUUAGCUAGUUGGUAGGGUAAAGGCUUACCAAGGCAAUGAUGCGUAGCCGAAUUGAGAGGUUGAUCGGCCACAUUGGGACUGAGACACGGCCCAAACUCCUACGGGAGGCAGCAGUAGGGAAUCUUCCACAAUGGGCGAAAGCCUGAUGGAGCAACGCCGCGUGGGUGAAGAAGGUCUUCGGAUCGUAAAACCCUGUUGUUAGAGAAGAAAGUGCGUGAGAGUAACUGUUCACGUUUCGACGGUAUCUAACCGGAAAGCCACGGCUAACUACGUG